CCAGCUGAGCCACGAAGGAAGCUCUUAUAAGGGGAAAGUGAAGAGAAACUGAGGAAUCUGUUAUUUGUUAUUAAGAGAUGUGUGGCUCAGCUGGUAAAGAAUCCACCUGCAAUGCGCGAGACCAGGGUUCAAUCCCUGGGUUGAGAAGAUCCCCUGGAGAAGGGAAUGGGUGGGGAACCAUCAGAUCCAGUAACUGAGUUAUAGCUCAGAAGUUUUCCUUUGAAUGCUAAUCACAAAAAUCCCAAUGGGAGAUGGGGAUCAGACUUCCAACCUGGUCGCCAACCUUUUCCAGAGAUUGCUUAGGAAGCACUGCCAUCUUGUGGUUUGCUGGGGUUAUUGCAGACAGAAAAAAAAAAUCUACAGAAGCCCCUGCCCCAGCUAUACAGGGCUGAAAUUUGUCUCCCAGGUAAUAAAAUGACUCUGAGAGGGUCUUCUUCCAGAAAAGUCAGAACUGAAGCAUCUUCAAGGAUACUUACCAAAUGGAUGAACCCGGCUGCUGUGAGCCACGUGCUGAUAAAAAUGGAGA